GUGAUGGCUCACAGUACAUGUCCGACGCUGCAGAAUGUCGUGACUGUGGCUAUCACCUCAACAAUGUAUCGGUACGUGGCGAUAGCAUUCUAUUUGGUGGUUGGUAUUAUUUUAUAGACAAAAAUAACAGUGCCUUUGUUACGUGUGCCGUUUAUAAAGUGAAAAUACUGUAGUUCACAGCCGUAACUGAUAUCGAUACAUCACCCGUGCGCGUGACGAUUGACUGCACUAGUGAAUCAAAAGAGAGAGAAUCACUAAUCGGGCGAUCGCAUUUCAAAAGGAGACUUAACUCAGACGCGAUAUCGAAAGAUCGUUUCGACGUGGACACCUUCUGCGACUUCAUACAUAGUGCUAUACCGAAAUCUGUGAGGAACGGCAAAUUUAUCUCCAACGAAUACGAAAUCGAUCAGUAUGGUUUUAGUGACACCCAAAUACCGACGGCUGUGGCACCUCCGAGAGGCUUUGUUCCCAGUAUACCCAAAUUGAAAUUACCAAAACUAAAAGUGCCCGUUAUCAAGGUGCCGAAAUUGAAAUCAAGCUAUGCGAAUAUUUCACCGCCUAUAAUAAAAACUCCAGUAUUUCUACCGACAAUAAGAGAAAUUGACGAAGAAUCCAGUGCAGAGAAAAUGGAGAAGUUCAAGAAAGGAAUCCAGAAAAUGCUGCAUGUCGUCAAAGUUCUCGGGCAGAUUGAUCAGUAUCUAUCCGAAAGGACCAGAAUUGUCAUUGAUAAAUUGUCAAAAACUCUUGCUGAUUAAAGUUUCUGUAAACUA